UUGAACUUUGAGUUUUCUGGCAAUAAACAACAACAACAAAAAUCCCAAACCCCAUCCAAAUCCAUAGUCCAGACAUCCCAGCUUCAGCUCUCCUUCCGGUCCCACACUGUUGACAGAAGGACUCCUGUUACCACGCUCAUUCCAGCGGCGAUUCACAUUCUUCUGGAAGAAAAAAAAAAUAGAUGCUUGAAAGACAGAAAAUUGCUCUUGUAAUCUCUUAAUAAGGAUUCCUGGACCGGAAUACAGAGCCAUGAACAUGGAUUUAUGCUUAACCUUCAUGAAUUCCUUUCCCUCAGUUAUUCUCAUCAGACAUGGUGAUGUGCUCAUUUAACAAGCAAGAGUAGAAGGGGAAGUGAGUAGUGGGUGAGGGAACCUACCCGUGCGACAGCCAGUUCCCUGGGAAGAUUCACGGCCAUGUCUCGAGACCAUCCUGAACUCACUCCAGCGCUGGACUCCGAAUCACUCGAAGCAAGUGCUGCUGUUUCCAGGGCUAUCUUUGCCUCAAAAAGGAGAAAAUUCAAGACGUGCAACCUAAUCCUCUCACUAUCUGGAAAAGAGAUCAACCCAUUUGUCACAAAACCCGAAAAACAACAGCUAGGUAAAUACUUAGGAUUGUCUGCUACUUGAUCUACUACUAUAGAGAGAAGAGGGGUGAGAGAAAAGUAUUGAAAUCUCCAGACAACUUGUGACUCUGGAGCUCUAGAGUCUGAAACAGUAAUGCACAGCUGUAAUCCCGGAAGCCUACGCUGGGAUGCAGAGAGGAGUGUCCCGAGGCGCUGCGACGGCCAGCUAACCCGGCAAAGGCAGCAGUGAGCAGAAGGUGCUGCCUCAAACAAGCAAGAAGGUGGAAACCAACACCGCAGGUUGACCUCUGACCUCCAUGUUUGCCCACUCACACAAACACUCACACACACAGAAACGUGCGCGCAGGCACACACGCAUGCACACAUGCGCACGAGGAACUGUAGUUCUGUUUAUUUCUCCUUUGUGUUUCUGAGCAUCCUCAGGGCCUGGUCACAUACUCUCCCAGUUGGUCCAGGCUCUUCUGCAGGCACAAACCAGGCAUGGGAUGUCUUAUUAACUCACCAAAGAUUUGAAUGUGCAGCCAGGCAUGGGGAGCAUUUUCUUACAUAGUCCCAGAGGUAGGUUGAAGAGAUGGGGAGGUGAAUAGUGGAAUUUACUAGAAGCUGGGAACUAAACUGGGCUGCUCUAAACACAGUCUUAUCUAAUCUGUGUGGCUGCCUUUGAGUAGGCACUAUUGACUCUCACUUUAAAGAAAAUGGUUGAGUUGUCCAAGACACAUCUGAAUGGAAUCUAGCAGGGGUGGAAAUCUAAGUUUCCUAACUCAGAGCCAACCUAUCACAUUUGUUUCCAGCCCUCCCCCACCCCUUCUCCCUCUUGAACUUUGGCUCAAAGUCUAUUUACAUUUCUUUUUCUUCUUUUCUUUUCGGGUGGUUUCUCUGUAUAACAGUUCUAGCUGCCCUGGAACUCAAUCUGUAGACCAGGCUGUUCUCGAACUCACAGAGAUCUGCCUGCCUCUGUCUCCCGAGUGCUGGGAUUAAAGGGAUGCAUCACCACUGCCCUGUCCCAUUGACAUGUCUGUCCUGAUCUGCUAAUACACAGUUUGGGGUUGUGGGAAGAGCCACCUCUAACCCAAACGCUCUAAGUGUUCACUGGACCUACCUUAGAUUUUGUACCCUGGAGAUGAACCCAAAGUUUUUCAUCUUUCUCUUCCAGGACCUAAGUGUCUUGCUUCAGCUGACCACACGGUAAUCAUCUGUCUGCCCUUUUCAUGUUCCGUCCAUAAUCUAAGGUUUAAGUCAGGCUGUGAUUAACCCUGACACACAGGCUCUUUCCCAGAAAACCCUUCCAGGCUACAGACGGCAAAGCUAGCUGUCUCACUCGAUUAAAGACUGGCUACCAGGAUCGGAAUUUGGCCCUGAGCUACCCUAAAAGACAAAAUGAUGAGAGAAGAUUAUCUUGGGGGAAGGGUUCUCUUGUGUAGCUCUAGCUGUCCUGGAAUUCGCUCUGACUCUGCCUCCGGAGUGCUGGGAUUAAAGGUGUG